AGACCCUCCAGGCCCUUCACUGAGGCCUCCACCUUGUCCCUAGGCCCAGCCUGGGAUCCCACCACCCAGGUCAAUGAAGAGGCCCCACCACCUGGCCCUGGCUGCCAGCCUGCUGCUCACUCUGUGGGCUCACAAAUUGCACUUUCAUGCCCACCCAAGAAGCACCAAGCUGUGUUGACUUAGGGGGCAAAUGAACAGCCCACCCAGUCUCUUUCUUGGGAACAGGGACAGCUAAGGGAGGAAGACAAGAAGCUUAGUACAAAUGACCAGCAGUGCUGACCAGUGGGCUUGGAGGAACCCAUGGGCAAACCAGUGAAAAAAGAAGAUGCUCUUUAGGAGAACAGAAGGAGGUACUAUCUGGAAGAGCAAGAGGCCUGUGGAAGUGCCCCUAUACUCCAGGAAACAGCCAAGAGCUUACAGACCACCAGCACAAUCGAGCCUUAUUCCUCUGCAAACAUCGAUUAUUAAUGACACAAACUGUGUGGAAUGAUAAAGUGUAAAAUGCAUGCUUAUUUGCAUGCAGUCUGGUGAAAAAAAGCCUGCUAACUACAUAACCCUGGAAAACAGCAUGCGUUCCUACCACAUGUGCAAUAUGCCAAAAUGCAAGUUUUUAUAAGGCAUGUAACAUGCUGGCAUUUACUUGCUCACUGUAUAAAUUGCUAAGAAAAUAAAUGCACCACUGCUA